rnacentral:ncRNA from 2 species
GCGCACAGAAGAGGUGCGAUACCUAGGUAAUUAACGUGAGAGGGCGAAACUCGAUGAACGUUAAUGAGGGAGAGUAUCGCCGAGAGUUACUGCGAUUUCGUCAUUGCUGUUUCUCGGUCUUUGGGGUUGAAUCUCCGAGACUGUCACCAAUAAAAAUGGUGGAGAGCUUCUGGCAGU